rnacentral:lncRNA from 1 species
GUGCUUCCACCGUUGCCCCUGGUAACCACCAGCUCAAGGAUGCUAAAGAGGCUUCCGGAGCAGAACUGAACCCAAGCUGCAGCCUGGAGCCUGGAGCCAGGAGCUGGGAGAUGAGUCCAGCCUCACGCAGCAGAGGAGCUGUGCUGCUGACCCACUUACCCAUGACUGAGAGAGAACCACUGUGGUUGGUCUGGUCUCCGGACCAGUUCUUCACACAAAAUGAUAAUCCUCUGAUAACAUAAUCAUCACCAAGGAAACCGGAGACGAUGUCACAAACAGGAUUAUGACUUCAAGGACCCAGAUUUGCAUCUUUCACCCACUAAAGCUCCCAGCGUGCACCUCUGUGGGCCCCACUCCACAGCAUCAUGGGGUGGACACUGAGGCUUAAGAAGUUUCCACGAAGCUCCAGAUUGCUCAGCUGGAAGCAGCGGGGUAACGGCACAGACACACACCUCCCAACCCAAGCACUGUGCCCUGGCCAGAGCGUCAGCUGACCCCGAAGGACAGCGCCGCUGGGUGGGGCCAGGACUGACCAACCAUCCUGGAAGGCUCCCACACGGACCGGGGGGCUGGCAGCAGUGGGAGGCUGUGUCACCGCCGCUCACAGCAACAGCUGGGGACGAAUUCCCUCGGCUCCACGCGGAAGUCAAGGACUAUAAUUGGGUGUGCUUCAAAACAGUAAUCCCCACAGCUUUCAAACAGCACAAUAAAAAUAAAUUAAUCACCCCGUCAG